AUUGAACGCUGGCGGCAGGCUUAACACAUGCAAGUCGAGCGGAGAUGAGGUGCUUGCACCUUAUCUUAGCGGCGGACGGGUGAGUAAUGCUUAGGAAUCUGCCUAUUAGUGGGGGACAACAUUCCGAAAGGAAUGCUAAUACCGCAUACGUCCUACGGGAGAAAGCAGGGGAUCUUCGGACCUUGCGCUAAUAGAUGAGCCUAAGUCGGAUUAGGUAGUUGGUGGGGUAAAGGCCUACCAAGGCGACGAUCUGUAGCGGGUCUGAGAGGAUGAUCCGCCACACUGGGACUGAGACACGGCCCAGACUCCUACGGGAGGCAGCAGUGGGGAAUAUUGGACAAUGGGGGAAACCCUGAUCCAGCCAUGCCGCGUGUGUGAAGAGGGCCUUAUGGUUGUAAAGCACUUUAAGCGAGGAGGAGGCUACUGAGACUAAUACUCUUGGAUAGUGGACGCUACUCGCAGAAUAAGCACCGGCUAACUCUGUGCCAGCCGCCGCAGUAA
rnacentral:rRNA from 1 species